rnacentral:lncRNA from 1 species
CUUGCAAAUUCAGCAGGUUAUGUUGUGAAAUAGGCUUGUUGAAGUGUCUUUAUUUUAUUACUUAUCGUUAAUGUCGCUUUUGGUGUGCAUGUUAAUGCACAGCACCUUUUUUCCCACUCUUAAAAAAGAAAAUAAUUGUAUUGUCAUACAAAAGUUUUACUGUACGUGAAGUAUCAAAUGCAUUUGUCAUUACUAAAUGUGUAACUUUUUAACACACAAAACCACAUUUGAUUAAUAUUUAAGCAGUUUUCUUCCUCAAAUGAAGUGGAUGAUGAUAUUAUAUAAUAUUUGUGAGAGGGAGAGAAUCUGAUUUCAUUGGUCCUCAACUCACACCUCAGACACUUCAUUCAAGAUAAUUGUAGUUAGCCCUGAGUUAGCCUGCGCCCUGAAGCAGAUUUACCAAAUUGGCUUAAAGGUGAGCCACUUUCAUGGUACCGGUUAUCCCAAAUUGAACUCAGAUUUGACCAAAGUUACCUCACUAACUCCUCAAACUACAUUCAUAGUAUAGUGCACCUGAUCAGCUAAGCCUGCAUGAACACUGCUGGAAAUUCCUGAAUGUGUACACACAGACACACAGACACAUUCGCGUCAAUUAUUUUCAAACUUCUCACUUUACUUUAGAUAAACAAAUUGCAUGUCACUCACGUGUGAGGUUUCCAAAGAGACAAAAGUGUAUUAAUUGCAAAAGUUGACCAGCUUCAGUUGGAAAAGAGAUUCACAAAAAUGUACCUUUAUUUAUUUAUUUCUGACAGAAUUCCUUUUGAUCAUGUUUCAGCCUGAUUGUAAUGAGCAUGAAUCAUCUUGGCCUAUCUUUUCCAAUCUCCAUGUUAAUUAAGGCUGAUAAGGCUUAGGACCCCUGAGUAGAUCACUGGAUUUGAGCAGUGUGGUUCUGCUGCUGGCUGGUCCUCUCCCAGUCAUUGGGUCACGGUCGCUGGUCCAGGUUGGGUUCCGCAUCAGGGCCUCCAAGGGACUGAGUGGCGGGCGGGAGGGGCUGCUCUCCCUGGGACUGAGAGAGUGCGAGGGGCUAUAAAGUGACUCAUAGCGAGUGUUGGGUCUGGCGUCUGCCGACGGCCCCCAAGGCUCCAACUUCAGGGUGGGUUUCGGGCGAAUAGCUGAUCCCUCGUCAGAUGGUUUACUAUCCAUGCACCCUCCUCCCAUCACCAAGCCACCUACAUAUUUCCCCUCCUUUUUCAGCUCUCCACACUUUUCAUUCUCAGGUCCAUCCUAAAAGGGAAUAAAUGGGAUAUUAUUAGAAUGGAACUGAUAUGUUUAAAUGAAACUAUUCUCGCAGACACGUACCUAUGAGUGGUUUUUACUUCAAAACUGUCCUACAUACCUGCUUUAGAGCUGAGACAUUGAGGAGAUGAUUGGAUUACUCCAGGGAAAACCUUGAGGGUUUGGCUUUCUCUUUGCAUACAAUUCCAAUAUUCACUACCUUGUACCUACCUCUUUCUUGUUGUCAUCUUUCUUUGUUUUUUUCUUAGAUUCUCCCUCAACAUCGGAACAGGAGUCCUGUGACCCCCAAAAAAUACCAAUGUAAAUUUAAGGAGAAUGAGUCAAUAAGCUAUUUUGGUAUCACAUGUUUGUAUACAUAACAAAAGUCUACCAGGAAUUUGUCUCCCUUAUUUGUAUCUUCUUCUUGUCUUUCUCACUUCCGGAG